GAAAUCACAGAUUUUAUUGAUUUCCUAAGCAUCGAUGGGGUCCCUACUAUAGGCCACGCAUUGUGCUGGCUGCCCGGCAAGCCAAAAGGCUAAAUUUGACAUCGGUACUGUCUCAAAGGACUUUCAGUGCGGGACAUGAGCAUCAGUGACUCUAAUGCAUGGAAGAAAGUGGAGACCAAACCCAAAGAGGUGCCAAAUACACAUCUUGUCCUUUGGCGAGAGAUCCGAGCCAGUGAGCUGAAGAGGCUUGUGACCCGACAGCAGGCACAGCACCGAGGAAGCUGAACUGUCAGGACAAUGUCUGCCUCUCGUGCAUCUGUCUCUGAAGCUACCAGAGGGUAUGCAAGAGGAGAACUUGAGGCAAUAUCUAGUAAUAUGGAGAAGUUACAAAGCAUUUCAGAAAAGAUGGCCUGGUGUGCAACCACUGAAUCUGAUGGAAAGCAGGACCUUAGCUGGCUUCAGGAGCACAGACGGGAUCUGUGGCGCUGACGUGUGUAUUCCCAGAUUUAGAGACCAAAUGCAAUGCCGUUCAAACGUUCUUGACAAAUUAAAGAGGAUCCAGAGGCCAGUAAUCAGGAUGGUAAUGAGAAGUCGCCCUGCCCUAUAUGGAGGAACUUGAGACAAAAAAACGAAUGAAGGACAUGGAAGUUUCCUUUCAUUUUGAACAUUGGAAGGGCUGACAAACAGAAGAGAGCAUGUCUGUUCAUUCUUGGGGGCAGAGCUAGACCUGCAGGUAGGUGUGAUGGUGACGUUUGCCUGCGUUCUGAACCGAGAAGGAACCGCCUAAUGUCUGGGGUCCUGAGGAAGAAAGAGAGCUGCUCGUGAUGGAAGAGUUUAGGCGGUCACUCAAAGACCACAGGCUGGCUAGUGCUCAGAGGACAGCUGCGGCAUAGUACCUCUUUCCAGAUGUGAAGAAGCAAAGAAUGGCAUCGAGGGGAAGGCGGGUGAAAUCUGGAAGAUCAUGAGA
rnacentral:lncRNA from 1 species